rnacentral:rRNA from 1 species
AGAGUUUGAUUAUGGCUCAGGAUGAACGCUAGCUACAGGCUUAACACAUGCAAGUCGAGGGGCAGCAUGAUCAAAGCUUGCUUUGAUUGAUGGCGACCGGCGCACGGGUGAGUAACGCGUAUCCAACCUUCCCCUUAGUAGGGCAUAGCCCGUAGAAAUGCGGAUUAAUACCCUAUGUUUUCCAAUGAGGACAUCUGAGCUGGAACAAAGGUUUACCGCUAAGGGAUGGGGAUGCGUCCGAUUAGGCCGCAGGCGGGGUAACGGCCCACCUGGCCGACGAUCGGUAGGGGUUCUGAGAGGAAGGUCCCCCACAUUGGAACUGAGACACGGUCCAAACUCCUACGGGAGGCAGCAGUGAGGAAUAUUGGUCAAUGGUCGAGAGACUGAACCAGCCAAGUAGCGUGCAGGAUGACGGCCCUAUGGGUUGUAAACUGCUUUUAUGCGGGGAUAAAGUGCGGCACGUGUGCCGUUUUGUAGGUACCGCAUGAAUAAGGACCGGCUAAUUCCGUGCCAGCCGCCGC